UCCCAGGUGGCUAAGUGAUAAAGAAUCUGCCUGGCAAGCAGGAAGUGUGGGUUCGACCCAUGCGUCGGGAA
rnacentral:tRNA from 1 species